AGGAGGUCCAUUCCCACAGCGGUAGUUGGGCACAGCCUCGUCCUGGCCUGUCAGGAAGAGCAAACAACAUGGUCUGAGCCCAGCGGAAUGCGCGGAAGUUAAAGCUGAGGGGGAAUUCACAUGUUACAAUUUAACACUGUACUUGUUCUUGUUGUUGUUUACUAGACAUUAUUCUAUAACUAUGAUGUAUUCCUGUGUUUAUUACAGUUUGUUUAAGUUAAUCUUUUGUCCUCUACAAAUUACUUUCUAGAACUUUUGUUUUGUUUUUAUACCCCUUUUUAUUGCUUGUUUCAUUUAGAAUCCCAGAUCACAAACAAUAUUCAUGAGAGAGUUAAACUCUACUAUUUCAUGAACACUUCACAACAUACCUAAGAAUUAUAAAUAAAUAAAUGGUUGAAUAAAUAAAUAAACAAAUGAUUGAAUAAACAAAUAAACAUAUAA